CGAAGCUGGAAUCGCUAGUAAUCGCGGAUCAGCACGCCGCGGUGAAUACGUUCCCGGGCCUUGUACACACCGCCCGUCACACCAUGGGAGUUGGAAAUGCCCGAAGCCAGUGACCCAACCGUAAGGAGGGAGCUGUCGAAGGUGGAGCCGAUGACUGGGGUGAAGUCGUAACAAGGUAUC
rnacentral:rRNA from 1 species